UAUAAUCUUGGACUAAAGCUAUUUCAACUAUAAUAUUUUCUACAACCAAAUUCGUGCUAUGGGAUAUUUAUUUACGUGAUUUAUCUGUUUUAGCAUUUGCCGAAGGGCGAAGAAAAAGGCUUUUGCAAAUGGAAAGACAACAAAGAGUUCUUGGCUUAUUUUAACAUUCCUUGAAUGAUUUACUAGUAAAUCAUUAAUGGCUUUGGGAAAGAAAUCGUGCAUUCUGUUAGUUAUUAGGUGAUUCUGAUAUGUACAAUGCACUUGGAUAAUGACACCUAUCUUAAGUGCUGCUCCGAGUCCAUCAGAAGAAUAUUACACUCAACUUCACACCAUGGUCAAAAAUACUGUGUGAGCAUCGGAGUUAUUAAGGCUUGUUGUUGCACAGGGUGCUUUUCUAUGACACAGUUAAAGCUGGUCAUAGAAAAAUGUGAACUGAAAAUAGUGAACAAUAUGCAAUAUUUUGA